rnacentral:rRNA from 1 species
UACGGAGGGUGCGAGCGUUGUCCGGAAUCAUUGGGCGUAAAGGGCGCGUAGGUGGCCCGGUCAGUCAGUGGUGAAAGCGCGGGGCUCAACUCCGCGUCGGCCAUUGAUACUGCUGGGCUUGAGCACUGUAGAGGCAGGCGGAAUUCCGGGUGUAGCGGUGGAAUGCGUAGAGAUCCGGAAGAACACCGGUGGCGAAGGCGGCAUCCUGGACCGGCAUUGACGCUGAGGAGCGAAAGCCAGGGGAGCAAACGGG